rnacentral:rRNA from 1 species
GAGUUUGAUCCUGGCUCAGGAUGAACGCUGGCGGCGUGCUUAACACAUGCAAGUCGAACGAAGCACUCUUUUAGAUUUCCUUCGGGGAAGAAGAAAUUGUGACUGAGUGGCGGACGGGUGAGUAACGCGUGGGCAACCUGCCCCAUACAGGGGGAUAACAGCCGGAAACGGCUGCUAAAACCGCAUAAGCGCACAAGGGCCGCAUGGCCUGGUGUGAAAAACUCCGGUGGUAUGGGAUGGGCCCGCGUCUGAUUAGCCAGUUGGUAGGGUAACGGCCUACCAAAGCAACGAUCAGUAGCCGGCCUGAGAGGGUGAACGGCCACAUUGGGACUGAGACACGGCCCAGACUCCUACGGGAGGCAGCAGUGGGGGAUAUUGCACAAUGGGGGGAACCCUGAUGCAGCAACGCCGCGUGAGUGAAGAAGUAUUUCGGUAUGUAAAGCUCUAUCAGCAGGGAAGAUGAUGACGGUACCUGCAUAAGAAGCCCCGGCUAACUACGUGCCAGCAGCCGCGGUAAUACGUAGGGGGCAAGCGUUAUCCGGAUUUACUGGGUGUAAAGGGAGUGUAGGCGGUACGGCAAGUCUGAUGUGAAAACCCUAAGCUCAACUAAGGGAGUGCA